AUUAUCCCGAGCCUGGGAGAUGUUGACACCCCCCCCCCUUUCCCUGGGCCAGUGUCAGCCCCAGGCACUGUGCUGAGGUUGUGUAGAAAGGGGCAGGCUCCCCCUGGAGAUCCCCACCCAGGGAUCCCCGGGCAACACUCCUCCAAGGACUUUUCUUCUCUAGGAACUCGCUUCUGUCAGCCUCUCUUGUCUGUCCACUGGCUCCUAAGCCUUCCAUCUGCAAGUUCAGUUUCUAAGUCAACAGGACCCCCAGACAGGCCUCCGGUCCCCUUGGGGGAACUGUCAGGAUCUGUGUGUGUGUGUGUUGCAAGCAAGCUCAUUGCAUGGACCUGGCACAGGCGGGAUCCAGCUCCCUUCCAGGGCCACGUGACCCUGGCAGCAUUACUCACUUGGGUGCCCUCCAGCAGGGGCAGCUGGGGACACCUCCCUAGAGUGACUACAGCGUUUAUCACGGGGAUGACUCAGCCCGCCCGAGCCUCUCUCUCCCUGAAAAGGGAAUCUGAGGCCAGGGCCGGGGUGAGAGUGUCCAUUAGACCAUCUAUAGCCUCGGGAGCCCGGAAACUCCCCUCACCUGGGAAGCACGCAGGACGGACGGACGGGAUGAGUAAAGCUCAGGCAUCCUGGGCCCAGCUGAGAUUUCCCGCUUCUUGUCAAAGGGAAGAAGUGGAACUCUUAGGGAAAAUAUCCCUGCUGUCGGGUGAGCGCCAGGGGCUGUAAUUUUCUACGAGUACCGAUGAUAAGAAGUCAUGUGCCCUUGGAUCCUGUUUGCACAAUACUUGGAAUGUUUACAGUGUAUGUAAAUCAGGACCACUCAUCAGACCUGGAACUGAAAGAAAACAGAGGAAGCUGCUCCCGGGAGAAGCCGAUUCUUGCAACUGGUCCCUGACUUUGACCCUGCAGUUCCUGAUGGCCAAGGCCAGAUGGGGCUCCGUGUUUUGUUACCAGGACGGUAUGUUUUAAAGCUGCAGACCAAGAAUUCUCAAAACCCACUUGUCCAAAAGCCUAAUGGUUGGGGCCAAAGCCCAACAGAAUAUCUUCUCUGUGUAGGAUACUUGGACUUCACCAUGAAUAUGCCCGACGUCUUAAAAUCGGUAAUAGAAGAAGCAAAUUGUUACCUAUUUUUAAUUAGGCAUGAGUUCUAUGGCUUCCUGAGUGUGGACCAUUCUAUAUUCAGUUGACCACACAAAUAGCUGGUUUCAAUAUACAAAGAAUGAAUAAACCUAGAAGGGGGGCCA
rnacentral:lncRNA from 1 species